rnacentral:rRNA from 1 species
AGUGAACGCUGGCGGUAGGCCUAACACAUGCAAGUCGAACGGCAGCACAGUAAGAGCUUGCUCUUACGGGUGGCGAGUGGCGGACGGGUGAGGAAUACAUCGGAAUCUACUUUUUCGUGGGGGAUAACGUAGGGAAACUUACGCUAAUACCGCGUACGACCUACGGGUGAAAGCAGGGGAUCUUCGGACCUUGCGCGAAUGAAUGAGCCGAUGUCGGAUUAGCUAGUUGGCGGGGUAAAGGCCCACCAAGGCGACGAUCCGUAGCUGGUCUGAGAGGAUGAUCAGCCACACUGGAACUGAGACACGGUCCAGACUCCUACGGGAGGCAGCAGUGGGGAAUAUUGGACAAAGGGCGCAAGCCUGAUCCAGCCAUACCGCGUGGGUGAAGAAGGCCUUCGGGUUGUAAAGCCCUUUUGUUGGGAAAGAAAAGCAGCAGGUUAAUACCCCGCUGUUCUGACGGUACCCAAAGAAUAAGCACCGGCUAACUUCGUG